rnacentral:rRNA from 1 species
GCGUGAGUGACGAAGGCCUUAGGGUUGUAAAGCUCUUUUGGCGGGGACGAUAAUGACGGUACCCGCAGAAUAAGCCCCGGCUAACUUCGUGCCAGCAGCCGCGGUAAUACGAAGGGGGCUAGCGUUGUUCGGAAUCACUGGGCGUAAAGCGCACGUAGGCGGAUUUGUCAGUCAGGGGUGAAAUCCCGAGGCUCAACCUCGGAACUGCCUCCGAUACAGCAAGUCUCGAGUCCGGAAGAGGUGAGUGGAAUUCCUAGUGUAGAGGUGAAAUUCGU